GGGCCUAAUGUAAUCACAGGCGUCCUUAUAAGAGGGAGCCAGGAGCAUCAGUCAGUCCUGAGAGAUAGGACUCAGCAGCUUAGAGUAGCACAGGGAAGGAGCCACGAGCCAAGGAAUACAAGGGGCCUUCAGAGCGGAAAAAGUCAAGGACACAAUUCUUCCCUGAAGCCUCCGGAAAGAAUGCAGCCCCACUGGCACCUUGACUGUAGACUUCUGACCUUCAGAACUGACUAGACACAGCUUUUCAAUGUAUGAGAGUUCCUGUUGCUCUGUUUCCUUGACAGCAUCUGAUGUUAUCAGAGUUUUGCAUUUUGGCCAUUCUAAGAGGUGGAAGCAUAAAUCUGACCCAUUACUCCAUCUUUACUGGAAACAGAAGUCUAUCUAAUAGCACUUUUUUUAAUUUGAAGAAUUAAAGUAGAUGAUAAGGAAACGUGUUAUUCGUUAUGGCCACAUAUCUUCUCAUGAACUGGUAGAUUAAGAACCAUGCUCCUAAGAUGUGAAAUAUUUUGGCUACCAUUAAAAUUAAGAAAGGCAAUAGACAUAACUUGAACUAAUUUGAAGAAAGCCAAGACUUUUAUAAGACUACAUUUCUAAACUUAAAAGACAGUGUAGUGUGUCAAAGGGUGAAAUUCCUAACAGUGUGAAGUGGUGGCUUUAGCCAUUGAAGCAGCAUGGUAUCCUGAAGAUUGUCUUGUCAUGCUGGAAGGUCAGGUUCCAAAGGCUCACUAGAGAGGUUUCUCCCCACAGAGAAGGAAAGAAAGAGUGGCAGAAGUUUUCUGCACACUGUGAAGGUGACUUUGUUCUCAGUGUGAGAGCAGGGUGGUCACAGCUCUCUCAGCUGAACUUGCUGUAAGCCUAUCUAUAAUGCCUAGGCAGGGGGCGGAAAGGUGGGUUGGCU
rnacentral:lncRNA from 1 species